rnacentral:rRNA from 1 species
CCUACGGGGGGCAGCAGUGGGGAAUAUUGCACAAUGGGGGAAACCCUGAUGCAGCAACGCCGCGUGAAGGAAGACGGUUUUCGGAUUGUAAACUUCUGUUCUUAGUGAAGAAUAAUGACGGUAGCUAAGGAGCAAGCCACGGCUAACUACGUGCCAGCAGCCGCGGUAAUACGUAGGUGGCAAGCGUUGUCCGGAAUUACUGGGUGUAAGGGGAGCGCAGGCGGGAAGCCAAGUCAGCUGUGAAAACCCAAGGCUCAACCAUGGGACUGCUUUUGAAACUGUCAAACUAGAGUACGGGAGAGGUAAGAGGAAUUCCUAGUGUAGCGGUGAAAUGCGUAGAUAUUAGGAGGAACACCAGUGGCGAAGGCGUCUUACUGGACCGAAACUGACGUUGAGGCUCGAAAGCGUGGGGAGCAAACAGGAUUAGAUACCCGAGUAGUC